rnacentral:rRNA from 1 species
CCUACGGGAGGCAGCAGUGGGGAAUAUUGGACAAUGGGCGAAAGCCUGAUCCAGCCAUGCCGCGUGUGUGAAGAAGGCCUUCGGGUUGUAAAGCACUUUCAGUGGGGAAGAACGCCUCUGGCUUAAUACGUCAGAGGGAAGACAUCACUCACAGAAGAAGCACCGGCUAACUCCGUGCCAGCAGCCGCGGUAAUACGGAGGGUGCGAGCGCUAAUCGGAAUUACUGGGCGUAAAGCGCGCGUAGGUGGCUUGAUAAGCCGGUUGUGAAAGCCCCGGGCUCAACCUGGGAAUGGCAUCCGGAACUGUCAGGCUAGAGUGCAGGAGAGGAAGGUAGAAUUCCCGGUGUAGCGGUGAAAUGCGUAGAGAUCGGGAGGAGUACCAGUGGCGAAGGCGGCCUUCUGGACUGACACUGACACUGAGGUGCGAAAGCGUGGGUAGCAAACAGGAUUAGAUACCCUGGUAGUCCACGCCGUAAACGAUGUCGACUAGCCGUUGGGCUCCUUGAGAGCUUUGUGGCGCAGUUAACGCGAUAAGUCGACCGCCUGGGGAGUACGGCCGCAAGGUUAAAACUCAAAUGAAUUGACGGGGGCCCGCACAAGCGGUGGAGCAUGUGGUUUAAUUCGAUGCAACGCGAAGAACCUUAC